rnacentral:rRNA from 1 species
GAUGAACGCUGGCGGCGUGCUUAACACAUGCAAGUCGAGCGAUGAAGCCCAGCUUGCUGGGUGGAUUAGUGGCGAACGGGUGAGUAACACGUGAGUAACCUGCCCUUAACUCUGGGAUAAGCCUGGGAAACUGGGUCUAAUACCGGAUAGGAGCGUCCACCGCAUGGUGGGUGUUGGAAAGAUUUAUCGGUUUUGGAUGGACUCGCGGCCUAUCAGCUUGUUGGUGAGGUAAUGGCUCACCAAGGCGACGACGGGUAGCCGGCCUGAGAGGGUGACCGGCCACACUGGGACUGAGACACGGCCCAGACUCCUACGGGAGGCAGCAGUGGGGAAUAUUGCACAAUGGGCGCAAGCCUGAUGCAGCGACGCCGCGUGAGGGAUGACGGCCUUCGGGUUGUAAACCUCUUUCAGUAGGGAAGAAGCGAAAGUGACGGUACCUGCAGAAGAAGCACCGGCUAACUACGUG